rnacentral:rRNA from 1 species
CCCUGCCCUUUGUACACACCGCCCGUCGCUACUACCGAUUGAAUGGCUUAGUGAGGUCUUCGGAUUGGCUUCGGAGGGCCGGCAACGGCCCACUGUUGCUGAGAAGUUGAUCAAACUUGGUCAUUUAGAGG